AAUAAACAGAAAUUCAUUUUUGAUCUAAUUGACUCAAAUUAGUGAAUGUAUUAAUGCAACACAAGGGAGAUAAAUCUAGAUCUAUUAUGUAAUUAAAUUAACAUGAGCUGAUAAUGGAGGAAUUUAAACCUUCAUUCAAAUUUGAUCAAGACAGAAUUAACAAGAACAAUCAAUCAAAGCAACAAUCUGAAUAUCUAAUUUUAUUGGUUUGAUAUGAAUAAGGAAGAAUCCUAAUCUUCUAAUUAUA
rnacentral:lncRNA from 1 species